GCCAGGUGUGGUAGCGUGCACCUGUGGUCCCAGCUACUCAGGAGGCUGAGGUGGGAGGAUCGCUUGCACCCAGGAGGUUGAGAUUGCAGUGAGCUGUGAUUAUGUCACUGCACUCCAGCCUGGGUGACAGAGUGAGAGCCUGUCUCAA
ensembl:misc_RNA Metazoa_SRP Metazoan signal recognition particle RNA